AAGCAACAGCAGUUCCAGAAACAGGUAUUGGAAGGAAAGCUUGAAGAUGAGAAGAAAGAAGUAGCAAAUGGAUCACGCGAUGCAUUGGAGGUCGUGAGUGAUGUGGCCCAGGAAUCCAUUUCAACUGCCCCGUCCAAUGGGGACCUGAAGCAUUCAGAGAAUGGGCCAGUUGCAAAAGCUGGAGAAGAUGCCUCUAAGGCAAGUAAGCCACUUGCUUCAGACAAGCGGAAUGUAGCAGAUGGGAUUGUCAAUGUUUGUUAGCUGUUACCAUUCCCAGUAGUAGGGAUUGAUUUAAGGUUUAUCUGAAGUUUU
rnacentral:misc_RNA from 1 species